rnacentral:rRNA from 1 species
AGAGUUUGAUUCUGGCUCAGGAUGAACGCUGGCGGCGUGGAUAAGGCAUGCAAGUCAAGGGGGUUUUGGGAGCAAUUUCAAAACAACCGGCGAACGAGUUAGUAACACCUUGGUACAUAACCUAAAGUCGGGCACAACCCCGCGAAAGCGGAGCUAAUUCCCGAUGUUGAAGCAAUUCCAAAGGAGCAAUCCGCUUUGGGAGUGGCCUAGGUCCUAUCAGCUUGUUGGCGGGGUAAAAGCCCACCAAGGCUAUGACGGGUAGGGGGCGUGAGAGCGCGUUCCUCAACGACGACACUGAGAUACGGGUCGUACACCUACGGGUGGCAGCAGUCAAGAACAUUCGACAAUGGGCGAAAGCCUGAUCGAGCGACGCCGCGUGCAGGAAGAAGUCCUUCGGGAUGUAAACUGCUUUUGCGUAGGAAAAAUUUUGAUUGUACUACAAGAAUAAGGGGUUGCUAACCUCGUGCCAGCAGCAGCGGUAAUACGAGGACCCCGAGCGUUAUCCGGAAUUACUGGGCAUAAAGAGCGAGUAGCCGGUUUUGUUAGUCUGAUGUUAAAUUCCGAGGCUUAACUUCGGAGCCGCAUCGGAAACGGCAAGAGUCCAGCUCAAAGUUAUUUUCUAAGACGAAAUUGAAAUAUUUGAGACGAAAUAAAGAAAAAAUUUUAAGGCAUAGCCUUGGGCGCUAUACUGAAAAAUUUUUCCAAAGUUGCAAUCCAAAUAUUUUAAUUGCAGUCAGAAAGAUAAUUUCGAGUUGGACUCCUUGAACUAGAGCAGGUAAGAGGUAAGCGGAACGUGCGGUGUAGGGGUGAAAUCCAUUGAUAUCGCACGGAACACCAAAAGCGAAGGCAGCUUACUGGUGCUUUGCUGACGGUCAAUCGCGAAAGCGUGGGCAUAAAAAAGGAUUAGAUACCCUUGUAUUCCACGCCCUAAACUAUGCUGACUAGCUAUUGGGAGCAUCGACCCUUCCAGUGGCGUAGCUAAUGCGUUAAGUCAGCCGCCUGGGAAGUACGAGCGCAAGCUUAAAACUUAAAGAAAUAGGCGGGAAUUCGCACAAGCGGUGGAUCAUGUGGUUUAAUUCGACACUGAGCGAAGAACCUCACCAAGGCUUGAAAUCCUAGUGUAAGCUCCGGGAAACCGGGGCCCCCGCAAGGCUCUAGGACAGGUGCUGCACGGCUGAACUAUCGGCCGGUAGGGGAGCAAUUCCCUACAAAAAUAACCAGCUCAUAACGGUGGAGUCCG